AAUAAACAACGAGGCUUAUGAUUUCCUAAAAAGUUUGGCUCAUGCCAAAAUCAUUCUCAUACUCAGUUAUCAAGGAUACCUUGGCCGAAGGCUAUCCCAACUAAGUCCGCCAAGGCUGUUAAAAAGUUAUGUACGCAUAAAUCAUGUUUUUAUUUUGAAAGCAUAGCCGUUCCUUGGCGUUGGCUGAGUUCACCCUCACGUGGU
rnacentral:lncRNA from 1 species